UACGUAGGGUGCAAGCGUUGUCCGGAAUUAUUGGGCGUAAAGAGCUCGUAGGCGGUUUGUCGCGUCUGCUGUGAAAACUCGGGGCUUAACUCCGGGCCUGCAGUGGGUACGGGCAGACUAGAGUGCGGUAGGGGAGACUGGAAUUCCUGGUGUAGCGGUGAAAUGCGCAGAUAUCAGGAGGAACACCGGUGGCGAAGGCGGGUCUCUGGGCCUGACCUGACGCUGAGGAGCGAAAGCGUGGGGAGCGAACAGG
rnacentral:rRNA from 1 species